rnacentral:misc_RNA from 1 species
CGCCUGUGAGUCGUCAUAGCUGCCGUGGUUUUCCCCGUCUUUUUUUUUGUUUUCGUCGUGUCGAAACAAGCCAAACGACACGUGCCUCUGCUCCUCGCGGCGGACGCUGUGUGGCGGCACGCCUCUGGCGCGGCAUAGCCGAUCGUUCUUCCCACCCCGGCAGCGCGCAACGGCCAUGGACCCUGCGAUGCAGGCUGGAGUGCAGGGGGAGGUUCCUAUGCAUCUCGAUGUACUUCAAAGCCCUCCGCCGUCUGACCUGGUCGAACAAGAAGCAGAGGCAGCCGACAGCAGGCCAACACAUAAGCCUGCGCCACAGGGUGGUAAGGAGCGCGCUGCAGUGCCGCUCAAGUGUGCUGCGGGGGCGACUUUGACGUCCAAUGCCUGGGCAACUGUGUGCCCGCCUCUCGCGGUGCUAGGCAGCGAUGUUGACAUGGCGUCCACUCUCGGCAGCUCGCUGCUGCCACCGAACCUCCUCGUCCACCCGCAUGGCUUCCGCAUCCUGAAGAACGCCAGUGCCCUGGAGCGAAACAUGCGCAGCUACUUCCGGCUUCCGCAGCCGCUUAACACCGCCACACGUGAGGAGCGACGCCGCCUUCGCCGCACCCUACAGCGCAUCGAGAGCGAAGAGGCGCAGCAGAAAGCGCGGGUGGCGGGCAACCAGGACGGGGUGGUGCUGGACGGUUUUCUUCUGCUGAGUGCGUGCGAAGCCGAAGACCCGCAGGAGGUGACCCAUGUGGCUCUGCAGUCAUCGCAGCUGUCGAACAGCAUUGCAGAGGACUUGCAGUACUUCACGCACCUCAAGACAGUGGACUUGAGCGACAAUCUUUUGUGCCUGGGCCAUGUGCUCCCACUUCCUGGAUUAGAGGUGGUCCACCUCGUGUGCAACAACAUCUUUUCACUCGCAGAGGUGCCGCAGUCGAGCAGCUCCUCGCUUGCCACCAUUGUGGCGCUCGACCUCGCCUACAACCACAUACCCGCACAUCACUUAGUUCACUUAAAGGCGUUCGGCGCCUUGCAGCAGCUGGACCUCAGUCAUAAUAGUCUGCGCACGCUGCCGAGAGACUUGUCGGGCCUGGCACGCCUUACACACUUCGCACUGGAGUCGAACGAGCUCUCCUCACCGGAUGUGUUCUACGCACUGGGCACGAUGCCGGCACUCGUUGAGGUGAACCUUUCGCGGAAUCGUCUCUCCUCUGUGCCCCCGUUGGAUACCGGUGUGUGCAACGGCGACAGCGGCCCGCGACGUGUUCCCUUCCCGUCUCUGCAGGUGAUGAGUCUGACAGGGAAUCGUUUCCAAAACGUCGAGGCCCUCCAACCCUUGGCCGCACUACACCAGACACUGCGCCGUGUCGAUGUUGGCGAGAACCCACUGCUGGUCCGCCGACCGAGUCAGAAGGCUGAGCUGCAGCGUCUACUAGACGAGGCCGUUGUGGAGGCGUACUACGCGGCGCUUCUCCCAUCUCAGAAGGAGAGCAUUGGCCCAGGCACGCUGUCGGAGAUGAUGGACACGUGGCACCGUCAGAGCUGGGCGCGCUACAUCCCAAAGCCGGUGGGCGAGGCGGAUGUAUCCGAGACGGAGGUGGUGGGGGCAGCAUCGAUCGGCGCCUCCUCGUCGCACAUCAGCCCCUCCGCGCCGUUGGCUGCGGCGUCGAACACACUGGAAAAGCUCGAGCCAGAUUGCCCGAUAAGCGAGGAUGCACAUCAUCAUGAAGGCGUCUCGCCACCGUUUCGGACGGUGAAGGAGUAUUUCUACUGCUACCGAAUCCACGUCCGAACGCCGAGAGCCACGCCACCACCCCUGCCGAAGCAGCCAACGCGCUACUUCUACUCCUCGGCGUUUCGAGAGGCUGAGCACGGCGCGCACGAUACGAUGCCGCUUGUGACGCUGCCACCCUACAACGAGUUCAUGGACGUCUAUCGCGUUCUUGGCCGACGUCGUUCGAGGCCACGAGGCCGAGGCGGCGGCGGCGUUCGUCGGCCAGCUGCAGCGCGAAGAACGGCGGCGCAAUGGGGGCCCCCGCUCCAGCCGGUGCGUCUACCCAUCUUACCUCACGUUCCCACCCCGCCUCGCACGGAGGGCUCGCCCUCAUCGCACCAGAUGAGUGACGAGGAGGCGGAGGAGGGGGCCGAGAUCGUGCAGGGUGGCAAGGGCUUCUUCCUGACCAGCCUCGACGGCUUAGUGGGCGGUGCAGCAGUGGCGUCGCAAAUCAACGUGCCCGGAGACCGAAAGGCGACUGCGGCCGCACCGCAUGUGGAGACGCAGCCUCAGUUGGCAGACAGAGUGGCGUCUGCGCCGGCUGGCACCGUUGAGGAGCCGCUCCCACGCACUCGUCUUCCCCGAUCGGUGGUGUCUCCUGCCACGGCGAACGUGCACGCCGCCAUCUCGGAGCUGCGGGCAAUGCUACGUAAACCCUUACCUUCUCUGCCGUACGAGGCAGCGCGCGUGAAGCAGACCACGGGGUGAUGGCUUGGGGUACUAUGGAAGGACACCCACACCGUCGCUGCGCGUGUCUGCGUGUUCAUCGGCCUCGCCACUUUGGUGUCGUAGUGGCCUUCCUCACUGGCAGUACUUCGCGCACCCAUGGACACCAUGGCGUCUUGUGCUUUUCUUUUGUUGCUGGCUCUUCUUGUGUGGCUGUUCUUCCGAGGCGCACUGGGCCCGCGGCAUCACGCCCCAGCCGCCAACACAGGGCAGCCAACUGUGGGAUUGAUGUAAAUAGCCGUGAUAACGAAAACG